UGGUAGAAAGUGGCAGGCUGGAGUUAUGCGGCUCACUUUCUAGCCAGAAGGAGGGAGACUGAAUGGAGGCACAUUGAAGAUGCCUGCUUCCUCUUCCACCGUGAUUGGACGUUUCCUGAGGCCUCCUCAGCCAUGUGAAACUGUGAGUUAAUUAAACCUCCUUUGUUUAUAUAUUACCCAAUCUCAGGUGGUAUUCUUUAUAGCAGUGUGAAAACAGACUAAUAUAGGUGGUAUGCCCUAGACAAAUUCCACCUUCAUAAGGGACAGUAGACAAUGUGAGUAGCUGGAGGAAACCCACCUAUCCUUCUUUUUACACAAUCUUUGCUUAACUUUUGAUGAUACAGGAUUGACCAGCAAUUACAGGUUGCUUUUCAGUUUACACUUUUGUUUGCAUUAUCUUGUUGAUUGCCAAUAUCACAAAAUGGUUUUAUUGUGAAUAUUUUCCUUUGAUAGGUGAGGAAACACAGACUCAGAGAGGUUGAAAAGUGUUAGAAUCCGCAUAAGCUUUCUGACUCUAGGAAUGUGUUUUGGAACAUGUGCUUGGGACAUUAAGAAGUAUAAUUGAUUAAAUGACUAUAUGUGGAACUUACCAGAAUAUAAGCUGGAGAGACAAAAACAACUCCUCACCUCCGCAGAAGGCUGCCUCUAUUGCACACAAAUGAGAAAAUAUAGGUUUCCAUGAAAUCACAAAAAUAACAAGGUUAGAUGCAAU
rnacentral:lncRNA from 1 species